CAGCAGCCGCGGGAAUACGUAGGGUGCGAGCGUUAAUCGGAAUUACUGGGCGUAAAGCGUGCGCAGGCGGUUGUGUAAGACAGGUGUGAAAUCCCCGGGCUUAACCUGGGAACUGCGCUUGUGACUGCACAGAUAGAGUAUGGCAGAGGGGGGUGGAAUUCCACGUGUAGCAGUGAAAUGCGUAGAGAUGUGGAGGAACACCGAUGGCGAAGGCAGCCCCCUGGGCCAAUACUGACGCUCAUGCACGAAAGCGUGGGGAGCAAACAGGAUUAGAGACCCCUGUAGUCCCUGUCUCUUAUAC
rnacentral:rRNA from 1 species